CCCUUAGAUGUUCUGGGCCGCACGCGCGCUACACUGAUAAUGUCAACAAGCUUUACCUUGGCCGAUAGGUCUGGGCAAUCUUCGAACUAUUAUCGUGAUGGGGCUAGAUUAUUGCAACUAUUAAUCUUAAACGAGGAAUUCCCAGUAAGCGCGAGUCAUAAGCUCGCGUUGAUUACGUCCCUGCCCUUUGUACACACCGCCCGUCGCUACUACCGAUUGAACGGUUUAGUGAGGGCCUCGGAUUGGUCUCGGCCCGCUCUUUACCGGGCGGCGCCGUUGGUCGAGAAGACGCUCGAACUUGAUCGUUUAGAGGAAGUAAAAGUCGUAACA
rnacentral:rRNA from 1 species